rnacentral:rRNA from 1 species
UAGGGAAUCUUCCACAAUGGACGCAAGUCUGAUGGAGCAACGCCGCGUGAGUGAAGAAGGCUUUCGGGUCGUAAAACUCUGUUAUUGAAGAAGAACGUGUGUGACAGUAACUGGUCAUGCAGUGACGGUAUUCAAUCAGAAAGUCACGGCUAACUACGUGCCAGCAGCCGCGGUAAUACGUAGGUGGCAAGCGUUGUCCGGAUUUAUUGGGCGUAAAGCGAGUGCAGGCGGUCUUUUAAGUCUGAUGUGAAAGCCUUCGGCUUAACCGAAGAAGGGCAUCGGAAACUGGGAGACUUGAGUGCAGAAGAGGAGAGUGGAACUCCAUGUGUAGCGGUGAAAUGCGUAGAUAUAUGGAAGAACACCAGUGGCGAAGGCGGCUCUCUGGUCUGUAACUGACGCUGAGGCUCGAAAGCGUGGGUAGCAAACAGGAUUAGAUACCCUGGUAGUCCACGCCGUAAAACGAUGAAUACUAAGUGUUGGAGGGUUUCCGCCCUUCAGUGCUGCAGCUAACGCAUUAAGUAUUCCGCCUGGGGAGUACGACCGCAAGGUUGAAAC